GCUUAACGCGAAGAACCUUACCAGCCCUUGACAUGGCAGGACGGUUUCCGGAGACGGAUUCCUUCACUUCGGUGACCUGCACACAGGUGCUGCAUGGCUGUCGUCAGCUCGUGUCGUGAGAUGUUGGGUUAAGUCCCGCAACGAGCGCAACCCUCGCCUUUAGUUGCCAUCAUUUAGUUGGGCACUCUAGAGGGACUGCCGGUGAUAAGCCGGAGGAAGGUGGGGAUGACGUCAAGUCUUCAUGGCCCUUACGGGCUGGGCUACACACGUGCUACAAUGGCGGUGACAGAGGGCAGCUAGACCGCGAGGUUAUGCUAAUCCCUAAAAGCCGUCUCAGUUCGGAUUGCACUCUGCAACUCGAGUGCAUGAAGUUGGAAUCGCUAGUAAUCACAGAUCAGCACGCUGCGG
rnacentral:rRNA from 1 species